UACGUAGGGGGCUAGCGUUGUCCGGAAUCAUUGGGCGUAAAGAGCGUGUAGGCGGUCCGGUAAGUCCGCUGUGAAAGUCGGGGGCUCAACCCUCGAAUGCCGGUGGAUACUGUCGGGCUAGAGUGCGGAAGAGGCGAGUGGAAUUCCUGGUGUAGCGGUGAAAUGCGCAGAUAUCAGGAGGAACACCUAUUGCGAAGGCAGCUCGCUGGGACGUAACUGACGCUGAGGAGCGAAAGCACGGGGAGCGAACAGG
rnacentral:rRNA from 1 species